AGCUCAAAUUUAAAAUCUGGCAGAUGCUUGUCUSYCCGAGWUGUAACCUAGAGAAGUGUAACCUGUGCUGGACCGUGUACAAGUCUCCUGGAAUGGAGCAUCAUAGAGGGUGAGAAUCCCGUCUUUGACAUGGACUACCAGUGCACUGUGGUUGCGCACUCAACGAGUCGAGUUGUUUGGGAAUGCAGCUCUAAAUGGGUGGUAAAUUCCAUCUAAAGCUAAAUAUUGGCGAGAGACCGAUAGCGAACAAGUACCGUGAGGGAAAGAUGAAAAGAACUUUGGAAAGAGAGUUAAACAGUAUGUGAAAUUGUUGAAAGGGAAACGCUUGAAGUCAGCUGCAUUGGCUGGGGAUCAAGCCAGCUUAUUUGCUGGGUGUACUUCCUGGUUGAUGGGCCAACAUCAGUUUUGACCAUCAGAGAAAGGCAAAGGGAAUGUGGCAUCUUUAUAGGUGUGUUAUAGCCCUUGGUUGUAUGUGGUGGUUGGGACUGAGGAUAGCAGCGUGCCACAAGGCUGGGUUUCGACCACGUUCACGCUUU
rnacentral:rRNA from 1 species